rnacentral:rRNA from 1 species
UACGAGGGGGGCAAGUGUUGUUCGGAAUCACUGGGCGUAAAGCGCGCGUAGGUGGCCACAUAAGUCCGUUGUGAAAGUCAAAGGCUCAACCUUUGAAAGCCGAUGGAUACUGUGUGGCUAGAGUACGGAAGAGGCGAGUGGAAUUCCUGGUGUAGCGGUGGAAUGCGCAGAUAUCAGGAGGAACACCAAUAGCGAAGGCAGCUCGCUGGGACGUUACUGACACUGAGGCGCGAAAGCGUGGGGAGCGAACAGG